UCUAUGGAAUUAAAUCUGGAUGCUGUCCAUCUACAUUAACUCUUCCAAGGUCUGAGUUAAUGACUGGUAGUGUUGCGGAUUCUGUUCAGUGCAAACCGAGACUUUCCCAGGAGUGCAUAUGCUCGGAUGAAUUAUUGCUCGCUGAUUGGGUUAAGCAAAGGACUCACUUUAACUGAUGGGACAUACUUAUCCUGGCAAUAAAAAAAUUAUUUAUGUGAGCAGCCAUGUUUAAUAUUCAUGUAUCAGCGACUCUUCACCGGGAGCAGAUUCAUCGCCAGGCGCCGUGAAGAUAAACCAUAACCUGUCUUUACAAU